CAAGUUCAAGGUUGCAAUUGCCGCCGACCAGAAACGGGUCUAACUCGCCGAUGCACUAAUAAAAAAGCUAAAUAAAUCAAAGCAUCGACAGGGGCAGUUGGUAAUUGGAAGCUGCGCAGAUUCUAUGCCCACCCAGGUGGAUGACUCAGUUUGUGCUGGAUUUCCAUCUAAAUGUUCUAAAGAAAUGUUUACCAGCAUAGGUAUCACAUUACUCAUACGCACCAUGGAACACGGCGAUUGGUUUGGAUUCCAGCUAAAUGCAUUUGUCGCUGCACAGAUAAUUCUUAGAAUUCAGCAAACCAAGAGUUUGGAUAUGGGUACAACCAAUAAAUAUAUUUACGAAAUGCAUUAGCUAGAUAUUUACGUUACAUAACAAAGUAAAUUACUCGAUUUCUGGAGGUAUUCAUCUUGCUGGUUUGUUGUAAAAUGUUAUUGCAAUUUAUAUUUUGAAACGGAAGUAAGAAAAGUAAGAUGACCAGAACAACAUUAGAUUCAUAUAAUAUGUAAAUAUUAUUUACUUAAAUUUUUUUUUUCUUGGUUUUAACUACCCUUAAAUAAGUAUUCUUACUUAAUAUUGAUCAAAAAAUAGCGUAUUAAACCAAAUUGUAUACUCUACUCCAAAUUGUUCUCUAAAUUAUCGAGCGUUUAAUGCUUGCAACAUUAAUAUUUGCUUUGCUGUCAGCUUUAAAAAUUUAAUUUAAAAAGAGCUCCCCAUGUAAUUGCCAAACUAGAGCUAGCUGAAAAUAAAUUGUAUAAAAAGCGGA